rnacentral:rRNA from 1 species
UGCCAGACUCCUACGGGAGGCAGCAGUGAGGAAUAUUGGUCAAUGGACGGAAGUCUGAACCAGCCAUGCCGCGUGCAGGAAGACGGCUCUAUGAGUUGUAAACUGCUUUUGUACAAGGGUAAACCUGAAUACGUGUAUUCAGCUGAAAGUACUGUACGAAUAAGGAUCGGCUAACUCCGUGCCAGCAGCCGCGGUAAUACGGAGGAUCCAAGCGUUGUCCGGAUUUAUUGGGUUUAAAGGGUGCGCAGGCGGAAUGUCAAGUCAGCGGUAAAAUUUCGGGGCUCAACCCCGUCGUGCCGUUGAAACUGGCGUUCUUGAGUGAGCGAGAAGUAUGCGGAAUGCGUGGUGUAGCGGUGAAAUGCAUAGAUAUCACGCAGAACUCCGAUUGCGAAGGCAGCAUACCGGCGCUCAACUGACGCUCAUGCACGAAAGCGUGGGUAUCGAACAGGAUUAGAUACCCUGGUACA